GAUGAACGCUGGCGGCGUGCCUAAUACAUGCAAGUCGAGCGAACGGACGAGAAGCUUGCUUCUCUGAUGUUAGCGGCGGACGGGUGAGUAACACGUGGAUAACCUACCUAUAAGACUGGGAUAACUUCAGGAAACCGGAGCUAAUACCGGAUGAUAUUUUGAACCGCAUGGUUCAAAAGUGAAAGACGGUCUUGCUGUCACUUAUAGAUGGAUCCGCGCUGCAUUAGCUAGUUGGUAAGGUAACGGCUUACCAAGGCAACGAUGCAUAGCCGACCUGAGAGGGUGAUCGGCCACACUGGAACUGAGACACGGUCCAGACUCCUACGGGAGGCAGCAGUAGGGAAUCUUCCGCAAUGGGCGAAAGCCUGACGGAGCAACGCCGCGUGAGUGAUGAAGGUCUUCGGAUCGUAAAACUCUGUUAUUAGGGAAGAACAUAUGUGUAAGUAACUGUGCACAUCGUGACGGUACCUAAUCAGAAAGCCACGGCUAACUACGUG
rnacentral:rRNA from 1 species